rnacentral:tRNA from 11 species
GGCCGGCUGGCGUAAUGGCUAACGCAUCCGUUUCCGGUGCGGAAGAUUGCAGGUUCGAGUCCUGCGUCGGUCG